GUGCUCAUUUCGUCAGCACAUGUACUAAGAUUAAAAUGAUACAGAGAUUAGCACAGACUCUGCAUGAGGGUGAAAAGCUCUUUUUUGCUACUUUCAGCAAUGUU